AUUGAACGCUGGCGGAAUGCUUUACACAUGCAAGUCGAACGGCAGCACGGGGGCAACCCUGGUGGCGAGUGGCGAACGGGUGAGUAAUACAUCGGAACGUGCCCAAUCGUGGGGGAUAACGUAGCGAAAGCUACGCUAAUACCGCAUACGAUCUACGGAUGAAAGCGGGGGAUCGCAAGACCUCGCGCGAAUGGAGCGGCCGAUGGCAGAUUAGGUAGUUGGUGGGGUAAAGGCUCACCAAGCCGACGAUCUGUAGCUGGUCUGAGAGGACGACCAGCCACACUGGGACUGAGACACGGCCCAGACUCCUACGGGAGGCAGCAGUGGGGAAUUUUGGACAAUGGCGCAAGCCUGAUCCAGCCAUGCCGCGUGAGUGAAGAAGGCCU
rnacentral:rRNA from 1 species